rnacentral:rRNA from 1 species
CGAAAGCCUGACGGAGCAACGCCGCGUGGGGGAAGAAGGUUCUUGGAUUGUAAACCCCUUUUCUCAGGGAAGAAGAUCUGACGGUACCUGAGGAAUCAGCCUCGGCUAACUCCGUGCCAGCAGCCGCGGUAAUACGGAGGAGGCAAGCGUUAUCCGGAAUUAUUGGGCGUAAAGCGUUCGUAGGCGGUCGUUCAAGUCUGCUGUCAAAGACCGAGGCUCAACCUCGGGUCGGCAGUGGAAACUGGAUGAUUAGAGAUCGGUAGGGGCAGAGGGAAUUCCCAGUGUAGCGGUGAAAUGCGUAGAUAUUGGGAAGAACACCGGUGGCGAAAGCGUUCUGCUGGGCCGCGCCUGACCCUGAGGGACGAAAGCCAGGGGAGCG